GCGCGCGCCAACUAGUCCCUGCAGGCCGCGUCCCCUCCCCCGGCGCCUCCGGCCGCCGGCGCGGGGAGUGCCGCGUGCUACCCGGGUACCUCCCUGCUCAGUACUUCCUGUAUCUGGCCAUCAUUUGCAGAAGAGCAGAACCACUCAGAAUAAUCCCUCAACGUUGUGCCUAUUUUCCACUCCUUCCUACUAUGUCCAGAAGAUAUGAUUGUUUUCACUGUUUCUCCCUUCACUUUCAAUAAAAGUGGAGUGGGUGGAUCAACA